ACGCGUGUAAUUUGUAAACCACUAGGACCAAGUAUGAAAUUUUUGCAAACCACAGGGACCAACCAAACAUUUAACUCUUACUUAAAACACCAAAAUAUUUACUAUGAUCUUGAUCUAAACACAAUAAAAACGCCGCAUAUUUAUUAAACGUCAAAAAAUGGAAAGGUGAUGUGACACGCGUUUAAAAAAAGAAAUAUGAAAGGACAAAAAAGCCCUUCCGCCCUUCUCUAUGUCGCGUGACACGUGUUGGGCCAGUAUACGUUCUCACCGUUCUCACAGUUUUGGGCAUUUUCUCCUGAUCCCGUUCCUAUAUAUAUAUAUUCUCGCAUAAUCAUUCAACCAGCCUACGAUUUUGAUUCUGACAGUGGAUCAUCGAACGAUUUCAAGUUUUGAUUUGAUUUCCAUUUCUAAGCAGUUUAUAGGUCUUAGUUGGAUUUCAAUUUCCGAUUUCUAAGUGGUUUACAACCCACAAUUUCAUGUAUUGGUGUGUUCUUUAUUUUAGGGUGAAAACAAGUAAAACCACAAUAAGGGGUAGUGAAAAAAAAUAGUGAAAGUCGUGUGGUGAGGUGUUCUUGAAGUGGCAAGAACUUUAUGACAUGGUAGUGAAAACAAUAAUGAAGCAUUAACACAUAGCCUUAGAGCAUCCACAAUAGAGGUAUUUUUAGGUGUUUUUAAGGAGAGAGAAAGUGAUGUGGAGGAGAGAGAGUGUGGUAAUGUAUGUGAGAAAAAAUGAGAAAAAAUGGAUGGAAGAAAGUAAUGUUAGGGUAUGUUUGGCAACAAGCUUUUAGGGGCUUUUAGGAGCUUCAAGCUUUAAAGAAAAAGCUCCAGGCCCAAUAAAAGCCUUGUUUGGUUGAAACAGGCUUCAGGCUUUUAGAUUAGUUGAAAAGCUCUUUUUAAAACGCUGGCAGCGUUUAAAAAAACCUACAAGCUUUUAGGGUUUAAAUUACUUAAAUAACCUACAAUCCUCAACAUCCCAGAUUGAAAAAAAGGAUCGAUCAAAACAAUCCUCAUCAUCCCAUAUUGAAAAAAAGGAUCGAUCAAAACAAAAGCCAGGUAUGCAUGUUCUUGUUUAAUUGAAUUGAAUAUCAUCUUUUGUCUUCUUAUGUGUUGCAAUUUCAAACAACAAAAGCAUGUUACGUAAUCGUCAGAUUUGGAUUUUAGUUUCUCUUAUUUAAUUUAUACAUUAAUGGUCAACAAAAGCAUUUUGAUUAUUCACGAAUUAUUAUUAACAUAUAAAUAAGCAACCACUUUGUGCUUAUGUUGAUUGUACUAUAGGCCUGGGGUCUUUUUCAAAAAAAAAAAAAAAAAGUGUUCACUCCCCCACCGUAUAUCUGCUGACUCUGUCUCUCACCAUUCUAUUCAUAUUCCCAUUUGACUGGCUUUCUUGGAUCCUUUUCUUUUUCUACACAUACGAUGAGAUAUAUAUAGAGAGAUAUGGAGCAAAACCCCAUCGCCCACCACUACACCACCCGACGACGGCGAUGAGUGAACUCCACCGCUUCACAGUCCUACCAACCAACGAUGACGCUGAGUGAAUAGCCGGCUCUCUGGCGGCUAGGGUUCCGCUGGAAACCCGACAAAGGAGAUGAUCGGAGGUUGUCGGCUCUUCUGCGUGCUCUUGUCCUGGUUCUUCAAUUUUUGGUCAGAUCUAAUUCACAUAGUAAAGGGAUUUUAGAUUUCAUCUGGCUUGAUGGUCCAAUUUCCCUAUUUUGAAAGGGUAAAAGAAAAGAGAAAAAACUCACAAGCAGCGAACCAUAGGAUGGAGGUAGUAGGAGGCGUCAAUCGAACCAGAAAAACCAGAUAAAAUAGAUGACCAUGAGCAGCGAAACUUCAUGCGAUUUAAUCACAAGCAUCAGACCAAACUAGAAGCAAAAAUCAGGUCCAUCACACAUAUGUAGCUGCUAGAUCUUAUGGUGCUUUUAAAAGGUCCCAAGCGUGGAAAACCAUCCGACGUAUUGAGAAUGAGGCAGAUGCUCAUAAAACUUAAGCACCACAGCCCUCUUCACCUUAAAUAAAUGACACUGCCGCCUGCUGAUAUGUAUGUCAAGGCCGAUGCAGCUAAAGUUCCUAUUGUUGUUGCUUAAGUGUGUUAAUGGUGUUUCUGUCACCUCUCAGUUUUGUCAAUAUAUAAUAGUUCAUUGA